rnacentral:lncRNA from 1 species
GAAAGAGAUUGAAUAAUCUGUGAACACCAAUCUCUUAUUAUACGAAGAUUCGCAGUCUAAAAUUUUUACCUCGUUCCAUCUAAAAUUGUGGUAAAAUUAAUACGAUGAUCAGUUAUGACAGUGAGAGAACAGUAUUCUUCUUAAUGUCUGAGAUAUGUUCGUGUAAUCUCAAUUUUCUUUUUGUCUGACCAACAUAAUUCGCCUCACAAUCAUCACGGAUAGAAAAGGCUAGUUUACAAUGGAACAUACUAGAAAUAGGAAGGAAACUUUCGGAAAUAGAUUUGACAGAAGAUAAAAGAGAGAGGAUAACAAUUAUUUGAAAGAUCUUGCAUUACAAUGUCGGCGAUUAUCAGCGAUGAACCCAUUGGAGUACCGAAUACUUGUUUGUAAUUUCUGUUAUUAAAAGCAAAAAAAGUUGAAUCUAAAAUAAAUCUAACUGCAAUAAUGAA